CCUCCAGACGCAAUAUCGUGUGAUCGUUUCGUCUCCUCCUCCACCCCCACGCAUCAGCUCGAGCGUCAGGCAAACUUUGCAGUCACGCACUCGCCAGCCGCCGACGACGACGAUCAGCGUGAGUGCUAUUGCCGGCAGGCGGCAGGGGCAGCUUGCCGCACGCUUCACACACACGAACCAGGCAAGCAGUUUUUCUCGUAUCUUGGACCUUGAAGAUAGCUUACCACAUGUCCCAUGAAUUAUCUUGGACCUUGAAGAUAGCUUACCACAAGGUCAGUCUGUGCAUUUUUUUUUUCAAAAUAAUUCUUUCAACUUCGAAUUCCUUUUCUUUUUUGAGAAACACUGUAUGAAUACAGACGCUAGACAACAUAUAUAUACACACACUCACCUUUAUGAACGUACACAUGCAUAGACUGAGCUGGCGGGUAUGCAAAUUAACAAAGUAACCAUAGACACCUCGCUACUCACGCGAACGUUGCCUCAUACUAAAA